AGAGUUUGAUCCUGGCUCAGAUUGAACGCUGGCGGCAUGCCUUACACAUGCAAGUCGAACGGUAACGCGGGGGCAACCCUGGCGACGAGUGGCGAACGGGUGAGUAAUACAUCGGAACAUAUCCAGUAGCGGGGGAUAACCUAUCGAAAGAUGGACUAAUACCGCAUACGAUCUACGGAUGAAAGCAGGGGACCGCAAGGCCUUGCACUAUUGGAGUGGCCGAUGUCGGAUUAGCUAGUUGGUGGGGUAAAAGCCUACCAAGGCGACGAUCCGUAGCUGGUCUGAGAGGACGAUCAGCCACACUGGAACUGAGACACGGUCCAGACUCCUACGGGAGGCAGCAGUGGGGAAUUUUGGACAAUGGGCGCAAGCCUGAUCCAGCCAUGCCGCGUGAGUGAAGAAGGCCUUCGGGUUGUAAAGCUCUUUCGGUGAAGACGAAACGGUUCAUGCUAAUAACGUGAACUAAUGACGGUACUCACAGAAGAAGCACCGGCUAACUACGUGCCAGCAGCCGCGGUAAUACGUAGGGUGCAGGCGUUAAUCGGAAUUACUGGGCGUAAAGCGUGCGCAGGCGGUUUGCUAAGACAGGUGUGAAAUCCCCGGGCUUAACCUGGGAAUUGCGCUUGUAACUGGCAAGCUAGAGUGUGGCAGAGGGGGGUGGAAUUCCACGUGUAGCAGUGAAAUGCGUAGAUAUGUGGAGGAACACCGAUGGCGAAGGCAGCCCCCUGGGUUAACACUGACGCUCAUGCACGAAAGCGUGGGAGCAAACAGGAUUAGAUACCCUGGUAGUCCACGCCCUAAACUAUGUCAACUAGUUGUCGGGGAAGAAAUUCCUUGGUAACGAAGCUAACGCGUGAAGUUGACCGCCUGGGGAGUACGGCCGCAAGGUUAAAACUCAAAGGAAUUGACGGGGACCCGCACAAGCGGUGGAUUAUGUGGAUUAAUUCGAUGCAACGCGAAAAACCUUACCUACCCUUGACAUGCUAGGAAGCCCGCAGAGAUGUGGGUGUGCCCGAAAGGGAACCUAGACACAGGUGCUGCAUGGCUGUCGUCAGCUCGUGUCGUGAGAUGUUGGGUUAAGUCCCGCAACGAGCGCAACCCUUGCCAUUAGUUGCUACAUUCAGUUGGGCACUCUAAUGGGACCGCCGGUGACAAACCGGAGGAAGGUGGGGAUGACGUCAAGUCCUCAUGGCCCUUAUGGGUAGGGCUUCACACGUAAUACAAUGGUCGGUACAGAGGGCUGCCAACCCGCAAGGGGGAGCUAAUCCCAGAAAGCCGAUCGUAGUCCGGAUUGUAGUCUGCAACUCGACUGCAUGAAGCCGGAAUCGCUAGUAAUCGCGGAUCAGCAUGUCGCGGUGAAUACGUUCCCGGGUCUUGUACACACCGCCCGUCACACCAUGGGAGUGGGUUCCACCAGAAGUAGUUAGCCUAACCGCAAGGAGGGCGAUUACCACGGUGAGAUUCAUGACUGGGGUGAAGUCGGAACAAGGUA
rnacentral:rRNA from 1 species